rnacentral:lncRNA from 1 species
GGGCUUCCUGGAGGAGUGAGCCAGGGUAAAAGACUCCAGAUUGCAUCCCUAUGGCCCAUCGUCCUCCUUCCUUAGCAGCCUUACGUCUUCAUUCCCUCAGUACAUGCUGUGUUCCUGGCUCCUUGUGGGAGACAAUGCUGGGCCACAGGAGAAGCCAAUUCAGCCCCAAUCUUCCCUGGUGGGAGCUCAGAGCCUUGUGAAGGGGAGAUGGACAACAAAAACAAGGGAGGGAAGCUGACUAGUCUCAGAAUCUCGGGUAGGGCAUCAGAACGAGAGAAGGAACCAAGGUUGGUGGCUAAAAGGACCCUAGAGUGCCCCAGAGAGGAGGUGGCGGGGAGAGGCUAGGGCCUUUCGUCUGGGAAGCCUUUCCCUGCAUGUCCAUGUGCUGGGCUACAGCGCCCUCUGCUGGUCUCUCCUGGUAAUGCCUAGGCACCGUGCCUAGGUAUCUGGGGUGGUAAAUAGGGACCUCCUUGGCUUUCUUCCACAUCGCCAGACCUUAAGGGAAUGCAAAUGAGGAAGCUCUUCCUCUGUUCACAGCCACAGUCGUCCUCACACACAUCUCAUCUCCAGUCCCUUGAUCCCCUUGCCCACUCCCUUCAGAAUAUAGAAGUCAAGCCACUUACUAUGGCUUAUGCAGGUCCUGCAUGGCCUAGCACCUGGUAACCUCGCUGGCUCCAUCUUCUUCUGCUCCCCCUUUGAAUAUCAAAUCAGUGGUUAUUUAGUUCUGAGGAGCCAUAAAUCCUUUUUGGAACCCACAAAUGAUGCCAUGAACCACUGCAUUGGAGAAUACAGAGGCACAUGGAAUUGCAUAAAAAUUCAUGAGGUUCUCAAAACCUCCACAGCCCAAUCAUGGCUUUCAAGUUAGAGCUCGUUUCCUACGCCCUGACGGUACUGAAGUGCUUGUAGCAACCAGAACUGUCCGUACCUGCCAUCCUCCUCAAGACUCUUCCUUACCUUCCUCUUACCCAGCUCCUACUCGUUCUUCAGGUCUUAGCUUGAGGGUCCCCUCCCAGAAAGAAGCCUUCCUUGACCCUCCAGCCUGGGGUGGGCAGCUCCCUCAGCCCUCUGGAUCCAUCAAAGCCCUGGCCACUGAAUGGUUAUUGGUGACAUGUCUGUCUACUAUGCUGGUAACACCUAAAUAGAGCCCCACCCAUCCCACAGGGAAAUAAGGACCACAGUUGUCUUGUUUCACACCUGCGGAUUUCCUCCAGGUCCUGGGAACACAAAAUGGGAAGUUCUAUCUCAUCACCCAUCUCAUGCCAGCCAGAGACAGGGUAUGAUGAUGGAAGUAAGCCAGGCUGGUGGCUCACGUAUGUAAUCCCAGCACUUUGAGAGGCUGAAGCGGGAGGACUGCUUGAGGCCAGGAGUUGGAGACCAGCCUGGUCAACGAAGUGGGACCCUGACUCUGCAAAAUAAUUUAAAAAUUAGCCAGGCGCGGUGGUGCGCGCCUGAAGUCCCCAACUACUCCAAAGGCUGAGGCAGGAGGAUCACUUGAGCACAAAAAUGUGAGAUUACAG